UUAUGAACAGCGUGAAGGGUAACUGCAGUCGAGCGGAGAUGAGGUGCUUGCACCUUAUCUUAGCGGCGGACGGGUGAGUAAUGCUUAGGAAUCUGCCAUUUAGUGGGGGACAACAUCUCGAAAGGGAUGCUAAUACCGCAUACGUCCUACGGGAGAAAGCAGGGGAUCUUCGGACCUUGCGCUAAAUGAUGAGCCUAAGUCGGAUUAGCUAGUUGGUGGGGUAAAGGCCUACCAAGGCGACGAUCUGUAGCGGGUCUGAGAGGAUGAUCCGCCACACUGGGACUGAGACACGGCCCAGACUCCUACGGGAGGCAGCAGUGGGGAAUAUUGGACAAUGGGCGGAAGCCUGAUCCAGCCAUGCCGCGUGUGUGAAGAAGGCCUUUUGGUUGUAAAGCACUUUAAGCGAGGAGGAGGCUACUUAGAUUAAUACUCUAGGAUAGUGGACGUUACUCGCAGAAUAAGCACCGGCUAACUCUGUGCCAGCAGCCGCGGUAAUACAGAGGGUGCGAGCGUUAAUCGGAUUUACUGGGCGUAAAGCGUGCGUAGGCGGCUGAUUAAGUCGGAUGUGAAAUCCCUGAGCUUAACUUAGGAAUUGCAUUCGAUACUGGUCAGCUAGAGUAUGGGAGAGGAUGGUAGAAUUCCAGGUGUAGCGGUGAAAUGCGUAGAGAUCUGGAGGAAUACCGAUGGCGAAGGCAGCCAUCUGGCCUAAUACUGACGCUGAGGUACGAAAGCAUGGGGAGCAAACAGGAUUAGAUACCCUGGUAGUCCAUGCCGUAAACGAUGUCUACUAGCCGUUGGGGCCUUUGAGGCUUUAGUGGCGCAGCUAACGCGAUAAGUAGACCGCCUGGGGAGUACGGUCGCAAGACUAAAACUCAAAUGAAUUGACGGGGGCCCGCACAAGCGGUGGAGCAUGUGGUUUAAUUCGAUGCAACGCGAAGAACCUUACCUGGCCUUGACAUAGUAAGAACUUUCCAGAGAUGGAUUGGUGCCUUCGGGAACUUACAUACAGGUGCUGCAUGGCUGUCGUCAGCUCGUGUCCUGAGAUGUUGGGUUAAGUCCCGCAACGAGCGCAACCCUUUUCCUUAUUUGCCAGCGAGUAAUGUCGGGAACUUUAAGGAUACUGCCAGUGACAAACUGGGAGGAAGGCGGGGACAACGUCAAGUCAUCAUGGCCCUUACGGCCAGGGCUACCACCGUGCUACAAUGGUCGGGACAAAGGGUUGUACCCAUCGGUAGGAUGCUAAUCCCAAAAAGCCGAUCGAAACCCGGAUUGGAGCCGGCACUCCUCUCCGGAAACCGAGAUCCUAAGUUACGCGAGA
rnacentral:rRNA from 1 species